rnacentral:ncRNA from 1 species
AAUUCUGGAAAGCUUUUUGAAAGCACCGAAGGAGCAAUAUCUCAAUGAUAGAAUCUCUCAGGUAAAAAUACAGGAUA